rnacentral:rRNA from 1 species
UACCAGCACCCCGAGUGGUCGGGACGAUUAUUGGGCCUAAAGCAUCCGUAGCCGGUUCUACAAGUCUUCCGUUAAAUCCACCUGCUUAACAGAUGGGCUGCGGAGGAUACUAUAGAGCUAGGAGGCGGGAGAGGCAAGCGGUACUUAGUGGGUAGGGGUAAAGUCCGUUGAUCCAUUGAAGACCACCAGUGGCGAAGGCGGCUUGCCAGAACGCACUCGACGGUGAGGGAUGAAAGCUGGGGGAGCAAACCGG